GACGAACGCUGGCGGCGUGCUUAACACAUGCAAGUCGAACGGAAAGGCCUCUUUCGGGGGGUACUCGAGUGGCGAACGGGUGAGUAACACGUGAGUAACCUGCCCUUGACUUUGGGAUAACUUCAGGAAACUGGGGCUAAUACCGGAUAGGAGCUCCUGCUGCAUGGUGGGGGUUGGAAAGUUUCGGCGGUUGGGGAUGGACUCGCGGCUUAUCAGCUUGUUGGUGGGGUAGUGGCUUACCAAGGCUUUGACGGGUAGCCGGCCUGAGAGGGUGACCGGCAACAUUGGGGCGGAGUGAAGCCCCAGACCCCUAGGGGAGGAAGGAGGGGGAAAUUGUGCACAAGGGGGGGAGGCCUGAUGCAGAAAGGCCGUGGGGGGGAGGACGGCUUGGGGGUUGAAACCCGUUUUGGCACAGGACGAAGCUUGGUGUGAGGGUAGUGGGUAAAGAAACACCGGAAAACUACGUC
rnacentral:rRNA from 1 species